GGGUUGCGACCGUCGAUCUUCCGAUUUGUGCAAUCCUCUAACCUCCAAACCUACCGGAAGGUGGUGGAUCGCGCGCUCAUCGUGGAGAGCGGCGCGACGGAUGUCCAGCAGCGGCGAGAGGCUAUGGACAAGGGUAAGGCCAAGAGACUUGCGGCUGAGGGUGCGAGCCAGACGCACUCUAGGAGGCCGUCGAAGCAUCCUAAGAGUGAGCAGCGUGGGCGUGGCUUGGCGACUCACCGUGGAGGUUCUGACCGAUGCCGGCCUCACCAGUGCGUGAUCUGUGGUGGUGCCCACAUUCCACCGCAGUGCCCGCAGCGGGGAGGGAGGUGUUUCCAGUGUGGCCAGGAGGGCCACUUCCGGACCGAGUGCCCGAGGGGUUUGUCACCGGCACCGUCAUCAGCAUCGGCAUCGGCUCUACCAGCCGCCAGCCACGGGACUCUAUCAGCCCAGUACCAGCCUAGGCGGCCACACGUCCAGUGCUAGAGUGAGGGUGCUCGACAGGCCCCGAGUGGACGUAUGUAUGCCGCUCAGACCGAGGAGGCGGCAGCAGCGGAGGAUGUGGUCGUAGGUAUCAUUUUAUUUGAUGGCAUUAGAGUUCGUGCAUUAUUUGAUACCGGUGCAUCGCAUUCAUUCAUAGAUCGGCUGUUUGCCGAGUUGCAUGGCAUCCCUAUGCUUUCUUUGUUGCAGCCGGGACGUGUAGUUGUCCCCGACCACUCUUUGGAUAUUAGAGAGUAUUGCCCCAGUUGCCCUAUUCGGAUAGGAGAUUGGGUUAUGCCUGUGGACUUACUAGCCUUGCGCAAGCUGGGGGAAUUUGAUGUGGUCUUAGGCAUGGAUUGGCUAACCAAGUAUUAUGCCACGAUCGAUUGCAAGAAUUGCACGGUUACUUUUAGAGAACCGGGACAGACGGAGGUUGUGUUUAGAAGAUGCCAGAGUUCGCUUUUUGCGAUGACGAUCAGCUCGUCUCGAGCUAGGCAGCUGAUCAGUAGAGGCUGUGUAGCCUACUUGGCUAGUGUUGUGUUGAGGGGCGAGAGUGAUACCCCUAGGAUUGAGGAUAUCGCGGUAGUGCGGGAGUUUUGUGAUGUGUUUCCAGCUGAGCUACCGGGUAUGCCACCCGAUAGGGAGAUCGAGUUUGUGGUAGAUCUCGUCCCUGGGACUACUCCAAUCUCGAAAGCGCCUUAUAGGAUAGCACCGGCGGAGCAGAAGGAGCUGAGGGCACAGCUGCAGGAUCUUCUGGCUAAAGGCUACAUUCGACCGAGCGUCUCGCCUUGGGGAGCACCAGUUUUGUUCGUCAAGAAGAAGGACGGAUCACUUCGCCUAUGUGUGGAUUAUCGUGAACUUAAUAAAAUCACGAUCAAGAAUAAGUAUCCGUUGCCGAGAAUUGACGACUUAUUUGAUCAGCUUCAGGGAUCGUGUGUGUAUUCCAAGAUCGACUUGCAGUCGGGAUACCACAAAUUAAAGAUCAAACCCGAGGAUGUAUUGAAGACGGCUUUUAGAACACGGUAUGGACAUUAUGAGUUCACUGUUAUGCCGUUCGGGCUUACUAAUGCCCCGACAGCUUUUAUGCAUCUAAUGAACAGUGUUUUUAAACCUUAUCUAGACAGGUUUGUCGUGGUGUUCAUCGACGACAUUCUGAUUUAUUCCCGAAGUGAUGCAGAUCACGAGAAGCAUUUGAGGCUUGUACUCCAAGUACUUCGGGAAAAUGAGCUCUAUGCCAAGUUGAAAAAGUGUAAAUUUUGGCUUCGAGAGGUAGCUUUUCUUGGACAUUUGAUUUCAGAAUCGGGUAUAGCUGUGGAUCCUAAGAAAUUAAAGCAAUUAAGGAUUGGCCGAGACCGACGAGCGUCACGGAGAUACCGAGCUUUCUUGGAUUGGCCGGGUACUACCGGAGAUUUGUUGAGGGGUUCGCCAAGCUGUCUACUCCCCUCACGAGGCUCACGCAUAAAGGAGUCAAGUUUGUUUGGAAUGAGGCGUGCGAGAGAAGCUUCCAAGAGUUGAAGCAAAGAUUAAAGACCGCCCCGAUCCUAACCCUGCCGGUUGCUGGAGCAGGGUAUGUGGUUUAUAGUGAUGCUUCAUUUAAUGGAUUGGGUUAGUUUUGAUGCAGGAUGGCAAGGUGAUCGCGUAUGCUUCACACCAAUUAAAGGAAUAUGAAAAGAACUAUUCGACGCACGAUUUGGAGUUGGCGGCCGUAGUUUUCGCAUUGAAGUUAUGGCGUCACUACUUAUAUGGCGAGCGGUAUAAAGUGUACACGGAUCACAAGAGUUUGAAGUACUUGUUCACUCAGAAGGAGUUGAACUUGAGACAGCGCAGAUGGUUGGAGCUGCUCAAAGAUUAUGAUCUGACUAUUCUUUACCACCCGGGCAAGACUAACGUGGUGGCGGAUGCUCUAAGUAGGAAAUCUACAGAAAACUUAGCGAUGCAUGUUGUUACUCAACCGCAGUUGAUCGAGCAGAUGAAGUGAUUGGAGUUGGAGGUGGUGACUCCAGACACGCCUUUGAGGUUGAUGACUUUGGUGGUGCAACCUACACUUGUGGAUAGAAUUAAAAAGAAGCAAGCUUCCGAUACGGAGUUGCAAAAGAUUAGAGAUAAAAUGGUUAAUGGUUGCUCCGACGACUUCCUUGUGGAUGAUCAAGGAUUGAUGCGUUUUCGCGGACGGUUAUGUGUUCCAGCGGAUGCAGGAAUCAAAGAGGACAUUCUUCAAGAAGCACGCCGAGAACUGUAUGCUAUACAUCCGGGUGGCACCAACAUGUAUAAGGACUUAAAGUUGCUCUAUUGGUGGCUCGAGAUGAAAAAAGAUGUUGGCGAGUUUGUAGCUCGUUGUCCAACUUGCCAACAAGUAAAGACUGAGUAUCGACUACCUGCGGGAAAACUUCAGAGUUUGCCUAUUGUGGAAGUGGGAGAAGAUCACCAUGGACUUUGUGACCGGAUUGCCUCGCUCCCAGGCUGGGCAUGAUGCUAUUUGGGUAAUCGUGGAUAGGUUGACGAAGUCGGCGCACUUCAUACCUAUUCAUACUACUUGGACUGGGGAGAAGCUCGCACAAAUGUACCUUGAUGAGAUUGUGCGGCUUCAUGGAGUGCCUCCGUCGAUUGUAUCGGAUCUAGAUACCCAGUUUGUGUCUCACUUUUGGAAGAGUCUACAGGAUGCCCUAGGCACUCGACUGGACUUUAGCACUGCUUUCCACCCUCAGAGUGAUGGGUAGUCGGAGCGCACCAUACAGACUUUAGAGGAUAUGCUCCGAGCAUGUGUGAUUGUGUCACGCCCCGGAUGUCUCGUUCCCCGGGCACGCCGACAAAUCCGCCGUAUACAAAGGAAUUUUCCCUGUAUACGAAGCGACAGCUGUACCUGUAAAUCAUACAAUACUACAAACAGUAGUAUAGAGCUGCUAAAGUAAACAGAAGCUAAACAAACUGAGUUUCACAUACAUAGUCCAAAAUCCAAAAUACAGAGCUACUCGCACUGGCGAGUUAAGUAUACUAUGUACAUGAACCCGAAAACCAAAACGUCUACCUGCAGUAGGGGUGCCUCUAGCUCUGCUCGUCGGGUAGGGCUCUAACUCGCGACGCCCUUGCCUCGAUCCGUCUCGGAGAGUGCAUCAGCCGAAACCUGGGGCUCUGCAAAACAGGGGUAACAACAGGGCGUGAGAACUACUGUAAAAACAGGUAGUCCUCAGUGGGUGCCGCCCUAAACAACAUCGGUCCACCCACUAAGUCUACAGAAGGGAGCCAGGAUAGUAGUAAAUGCAGGAAUGAAAUCUACCGCUAUGAAUCACUACACUAUCAUGCUCUACACUAACCAACUGUAGGAAAUGUCAAAUCUGACCCAAUCCAAUCGGGACUGUAAGCAUACCCGUCCCUGGGACUGUGAACACACCCGUCCCUGCCCAGUUGUGACAAUCAGCUACCUCCACACUACUGGUCCGUGGAGAGCAAGUCCAACCGGCAUGAGCGACACCAACGCAAAAGCACUAAGCCCGCCUCCGGAGUGGCACUCGUGGGAGCUACCCAACCGAGUAUGCAGCGUGUCUCUGUCGAGCUCAAACAGGCUCUAACAAGCCAAAGUCAAGUAACCGACUCAUACUGGUCUAACAACCAACUAGUAACGUGCCCUCGGCACAAUCUGACGCCAAAACGGCGAACCGGGUCCACCGUCAACCCCGACGGCACCCAACAGUCUGGAACAGCCUGAACGCUACUAUAAAAAUACACUCGGCAUCCCAGCACGAGUGUAACUGAAAUCUAAACUACCUGGAAUACUCACUAUGAUGAUACUGAAACCGUAUAAAAUCAUACCACGGUCCCUAGGGCUAAAUCAGGUAGUUAACAUAUGCCGAUCGUUAUCGCGUUUUCUCCUAAGUCAAAUCCAAGUCCAACAUGUAUAUUCAUAUUUAUUAAUCAUGUUCUUAAAUCGUAUUUAUCCAAGAUAUAAUCAAUGAGAUAGAGCUACACAUGAUUUAUACAACUACAAAUCAUACAUGUCGACUAAUGCUAUACUUAGGAAUAAACCGAUGUAACCCACCUAGCUCGCUAAUCCCUGGCAGCACGGAACUGCCCUCGGCUGCGGAACAACCUGCCGAAACGUCCGAAAACCUCCCAAGGCCCGAAGUCAAGCUCCCGCCAAACUCUACACGGAGAAUCCGACAAUAAGCAUUAUUUCUGCCUCAAAAACAGCAACAGAGAAGAGCGAAAUUCCGACCUAGCAAACCUUUAUCAAAUCCAGCAAGUAAGGACUUCGUGGAUUCCUCUCGAAGUCCCGAAUCCAACAAACCAAGUCCCGUCGAAAACCGACGCUCCUACGCCGAGUACGAACUGAAAUACCGACGGUCGACGCUGGAAAUUCUGCAAAUCAGCACCAAGCUCGAAUGGAUAAUACUUGAAGCAGUGCAACGGAACACUCACCUCAAAGGCUAAUCGGACAUCGACGCGGCGUCGAGAACGACGAAAACGCAUCCUCGCCUAGUUUCCUCGCAACGCUACGAUCCCAACCGUACCCUCGAACGGCUUCGCGGCGCGUCGUCGGCGUCGAACUCGUGCUCGCGACUACCUCCUCCGAGCUCUUUGCUUCGGUUGAACAAAGAGAGAAGUAGAAAGAUUAGGCAAUGCCCACCUAAUUUGUUGAUAAGCAUGCAAAGGGUGCACGCGGCAUCCAAGCCACCCUACUUUGCAUGCAUGGGUGGACGUGGCAUCCAAGCCACCCCACUUAGCACCAACCGACAUAAAACAUAAAUAAGUUAAUUAAUUAAUAAAUAAAACAAGGAUACUACAUCCUCCCCCACUACAAAAAGUUUCGUCCUCGAAACUUAAACAUACCUCAACACGAAGUAACGAACAGGUCGGGGCAGGACUCUCUCAUCACCGUCUCAGGCUCCCAAGUCGCCUCCCGCUCCUCGUGAUUGCUCCACUACACUUUCACAUACGGGAUGACCCGAUUGCGCAAUUCUUUCGUCUCCCGAGCAAGAAUCCGCAACGGUCGCUCCUCGUAUCUCAGAUCCUCGCCGAUCUCAAGUGGAGUGAAGUUGAUCACGUGAGAGAGAUCGAAAACAUAUCUCCUCAAUGCUGAGAUGUGAAAAACAUCGUGUAUGCCAGCAAGUCGCGGGGGUAGAGCUAUCCUGUAAGCAACCGGUCCAAUACGCUCCAAUACCUCGAAAGGGCCAACAAACCGUGGACUGAGCUUUCCACGUACUCCAAAUCAGCGAAUCCUUCUAGACGGCGAGACUUUAAGGAAAACAUGAUCUCCAACAUGAAACUCUAAGUCUCGUCUCCUGGUAUCGGCGUAGCUCCUCUGGCGGCUCUGGGCGGUCAAAAGGUGUCAUCGAACGACUCUCACCUUUUCCUUAGCCUCAAGUAAGAUCUCCGGUCCAAAUGUCCUCCUCUCACCCACAUCACUCCAAAACAGAGGGGAUCGACAUCUGCGUCCAUACAACGCCUCAAACGGAGCCAUCUGGAUGCUCGCUUGAUAGCUGUUGUUGUACGCAAACUCAACCAGUCUCACAUGUCGAUACCACCCUCCUCCAAAAUCCAGGACGCAUGCCCUCAGCAUGUCCUCUAGAGUCUGAAUGGUCCGCUCUGACUGACCAUCUGUAUGUGGGUGGAAUGCCGUCUGAAGGCUCCUCCAAAACUGGGAUACAAACCUCGGGUCUCUGUCUGACACAAUCGAUACUGGCAUGCCGUGCAGCCUAACGAUCUCAUCCAGGUAUAGCUGCGCGAGUCUCUCUUUGGACCAGAUAGUCUGAACCGGUAGGAAGUGAGCAGACUUGGUCAGUCUGUCCAUUAUAACCCAAAUCGCGUCAUAGCCACCCUGUGCUCUAGGCAAACUAAUGACGAAAUCCAUCGUGAUAUACUCCCAUUUCCACUCUGGCACUGGUAGACUCUGAAGCUUGCCAGCAGGCACCUGAUGCUCGGCUUUCACCUGUUGNNNNNNNNNNNNNNNNNNNNNNNNNNNNNNNNNNNNNNNNNNNNNNNNNNNNNNNNNNNNNNNNNNNNNNNNNNNNNNNNNNNNNNNNNNNNNNNNNNNNCGGUCUCACCACCAGGGACCGGUUGCCUCAGGACUUCCUGGCAGGCUACGCGUACGGGGACCGGUCUCUCCUUCAGGGACCGGUCCCCGAGAGCAAAAAAUCUGGGACUUAGCCGGAUUUUCAAAUUACUCUCUCGGGUCCCAUCUAGCCUCACUUAUGGACUCUAACACGCUUAGGGCCCACCCAAACUCGUUCAAUUCCGCGUUCCGCUCAUUUUGACGGAACCCGGCACGAUUUAUAAGGGACGUGGUAUGUUACAACAAAGAAGUCCAAACAAUCACUACAUAUAUGCUAACUCCUUCAAUUCAAGGACCUAGACAUGAAUCGCACUAUGGGACCAUUGAAAUUGUGAACAGCAAAUUUCAAAGGAUUGAACAAAAAAUAUACAACAAAUAUAGCAAAUUUCAACUCGAAUUUCUACCCAGCUUAUUUUGCUUUAAACUAUUGCCUCAAACCGAUAGGUAUGAUGGUGUCGACAUGAACAAUCACAAUUCAAUAUUUAGUUAACACAAUUUCUCCUUCUGUGGCAACAAUAUUAGUUUAUUAGUUUAUCAUUAAAAAAGAUUUUUCUUUCUUACCGCAUGAAAACAUAAAUAAAUUAUCUGAAAUUCCCAAGCAAUUUAAAUUGUGCCUCAAUUAUUCAUGGUAUAAAAAGUUGCAUUAAUUUCAACCGUACACUUUCCUUUUUCAAAUAGACCUAAAUAUCUAUACAAAUACAUUAAAGGACGAACCCUGGGCGAACCCUCAACCCUUUCCAUAGUUUUUCCGUGAUUUCAGGAGUGGGUCCCUCCUACUACCAUGUAUUCCCCCCUCUUUCUGUAAUGCACUGGAUCUUGCAAAUCGCAAGAUUCGAGUGUUUGAUCUGUGUGGGGAGCCUUUCCACAGUUUUUGGAGGGUCGUUGAUAGUGUUCCGACCCCUGGCACGCACCCCGAGGAUGUUGGAGUGAGACUUGGCACCAAAAUCCCAAAACUGGAAUUUUUGGUCAGCUCUCGGGUAGCCUGCAGCAGAGCUUGUACCGGAACAAGACUGGUCUUGUACCGGUACAAGGUUGAUGGUUGUACCGGUACAGCCAUCGGGCUUGUACCGGUACAGAGCCGCAGACCCCGCGACCUGAGCCUCGGGUUUGCAUUUUCGUGGGCCUUGUACCGGUACAAGAGCCCGUGUACCGGUACAAGGAGGCAGUUUUCGUGCAGUUUGGUCUGCAGGGGUGUUUUUGCUAUUGUAGCACUUCUAUAAGUGCACCCCACGCCCCUUAGGGCCUCCCCUGUGCAGAGACCAGCAGGAGUUGAGGUAGGAGGAGCUCUCUCUCCCUUCCUUUGCAUUUUUACUCCUUCUGCUUGGUUUUUAUUGGGUUUUCUCUCCUCUAUUUGCAUCUUGGUGGCUUCUCCACCAUUGUUGAUGGCUUAGAGCUUGGAGAGGAGCUAGUGGCUGCGGAGAUCUUCAACAUCACUUGGAUUGGAGCUAAGUUUGGAGCUUCGUGAGAGGUUAGAGACUUGAUUUUUUCCUUUGAUCCUUGAUUUGAGGUUUUUGUGAGAUGAAACCCUAGAAUGAGGUUUUAGGGCUUAAUUUGGGCAAUUUGAAUCUAGGGCUUUUGAAGCUAGUUUGAGUGGAUUAGAGGCUUCCAUUUGGUUGGAUUGGAAGGACUCUAGCUCUCUUUUGGAGCUUUAGAGGACAUUUUUGCACUAAAUGUGAGUUUUUCUCACCUAUACUUGAUUAGCUUAAUGAUUGAGCUAGGUAUUGUUCGUUUGGCUCGUAUGACACAUGUUUCUAUACCUCUAGGGUACUAGGAGACUAGAGGACACCCUCGUUGGAGCGAACGAGGAGUUUCGUCGUCAUCGGUGGGUUUGGCUUCGUGGAAAUGGGGCGAAAUGGCCCCUAUGCUCUUUCUACUUGUUGUAAAAUAUUUUUAAGUUCAUUUCUAUGCUAAAUGAAAUUUAUAUGAAUUUUAGAACACUUAAAAUGCAUGCCUUAUGUAUUAUGAAAAUUCCACUAUAUAGUAGAGCUAUAUGAGUAGAAUGCAUGCAUACGGGAAAAGUGUUUAAUUUUGCAAGUGGAAAAUACAUCUCUUAUGAGGAUUAUGACUUAGAACAUAUACUUUGGAACAUAGUUGCCAUACUUUGACAUAGAGAGUAAGAGUGGCAUCAAGGGGCACUUGAAACUAGCAAACUGUUAAACUGUAACAUAGAGACAUAUUGAUAGGCCACUACGUAUCUGUUAUAUUCCAUGUUAGAGACAUGAUGACAUAGAGAUAGACUAUUGAGAUACUUGAUAUAUUCCAUGUUAUUAGACAUGAGGACUUGGUACUUGAGACAUAUCAUUGCUUGCUUGCCAUCGUGCUCAUUUGCACAUGCUUAUGAGGGUCGCUCCCUACAAGCCGGCACUCCGGAGAUAGCCAUCGCGACAUAUGCUCGCCCGUACGGGAUUGGGCGCCGAAGUGGAUUUCCGUGGGGGAGGCUCAUCCCUAGAAUGGGGAUGUUGACUACCACGGGGCCAUUAGGCACGGCGCAGGCCAGACAGCCUUCGGGUGGGUCUUAUAUGAUUGGGACUUGGUGACAGAACAUGCUAUGUGAACUUUAUAACUGUUAAAGUGGACUUGGACUAGAAUAGUAAACAAUGACAUCUUUACUAUUACAUUGUGGACUGUGGGUAGUUGCAUAAUCAUGCUUUAUAUGUUGGGUGUUCAUGUGCAUAUAGCUAGUAGUUGCUUCCUUACUUAUGUAAAUUAUGCUAAGUAGAGGUAUCAUGAUUAUUGGGUACUCGUUUAUUUAUUUGCUUACAGCGCAUUUAUCGCUUUUGUUAUAUUGUACACUGACCCUUUUUCUAUAGUUCGGGCCUAGUGGUGCAUUUCACUGAAGUCAGUAAUUGCCCACUGGGAACUAUUAUUUAAUAGUUCUCACGCCCCUGUUUCUAUGUUUCCUUUUUAGAGCCUUCGGCACCGGCGGAAGCACGGGACUACGGCAAGGGUGUCGCGUAGCUAGCUCGCGGAGAGUUCUUUUGCGCUAGGUGGUUACUCCUCCAUUUUAUAUUUUGAGAGAGAGGGAGAGGUUUUGUACCAUGUAUAGAAAGACCACCUUGUACUUCUUUUAGCACUUGUUAUGGGAUCCCUAUUGUACUUACUUUAUAUUUUUAUUUAGUGGACUUUCAGCUUUAUGUCCUUUUCUUGUUAUAGAACUAGUUAUACAAUGCUCUGAUGUCACUAGACCUCUUGUAUUAUGGUUUUAUCUAUCGAAAUUUUUGUAGACGCCUUAUAUGUUUUAGACGUAUGGCGGGUCUGGACACGCACCGGGUAGGCUUCCGCUGAGCCCCGGGGCGUGACAGAUUAAUUUGGUACCAGAGCCUAGGGUUGAGUCUUAGGGGACCUAGUAAACCUUAGGCCGGUUGGACUAUAGGAAAUAGGCUCGUGAGAGACGAGGUCUAUUCGACUUGUAAGCGAAAGUAUCUAGAUUGGGUAUCUUGAAUAACUCUAGAAAGUGGAGUUAAAUUGAAGUGUAUAACUCCUAACUUCGCGGAGGGUUACGUUGGCGGCCGACAACGUAACAUCGGGAGUUAGUUGUGGAUAACACUUCCUUACUUUCGCAUGAUUUGGGGUUUGUCUUUGAGCGGGGAUGCGACAGCGUGAGUAUUUCUAACUUGCGCUUUUAUGAUGCUGUAGUGACGAUGCCGAUUACUCGCUCCCAAUCUGCCAGGGCGGACAAUGCGGCAAACUUCGAGGAGGUCGAGACCUCCGCUACCUCCGGAUCCAGCGAGGUCCGUGAGUUGAGGGGCCAACUGGCAGCCCUCACCGACUUGGUCACUCAGCAGGCAGAGGCGGCCCGACAGCAGACCGAGGCGGCGCGCCGACAGGAGACGCGAAUGAAGCGUCUGGAGGACCUACUAUUGCAGCAGGCGGCAGCUUCUAGGGAGACUCAGGCCCCUACACCGCCAUUACCAGUUGUGGACGUUGCACCGAGAGCGCCGUCCCCCGCGCCCAGUUCUUCGCGUGCGGCGCCUGCGACCGCACCCCAGGAGGAGGCUUUGGCGGCACCACCUGUGCAGAGGCCUCCGGUUGGAGCUGCUUUUCCUACCUUGGUUGAGGGGGCGGAGCGAGACAGACUGAUGGAGCGCCUCAAUGAGUUCAGGAGGUGCAGCCCCCGAGUCUUCGAUGGCGAGAAGGUCGACCACUGGAUCGUGGAGAAGUGGUUGAUGCAUAUGGAGAAGCUCUUCCGCGACACCUUCGUGGAGGAAAGGGAUAGAGUUUGGCUCGCCACUCACCACUUGGACGGCGAGGCCUACCGCUGGUGGUUGAAUUUUCAGGAGCACCCCAGCACUGACUUGGCAUCUAUCACAUGGACGAGGUUCAAGGAGCUUCUUCUGGCGCACUACUUUCCGACUAGCGUCAAGAGAAAGAUGGAGCAGGAUUUGCGCAGCUUGCGCCAGGGUGACAGGAUUGUAGCCGAGUACGAGAGGGAGUUUUCUCGGCUUCUGCAUUGCGUGCCCUUCGUCGUGCGGGACGACGAGGAUAAGGCCCGCAUCUUCGAGCGAGGGUUGCGACCGUCGAUUUUCCGGUUUGUGCAGUCCUCUAACCUCCAAACCUACCGGGAGGUGGUGGAUCGCGCGCUCAUUGUGGAGAGCGGCGCGGCAGAGGUCCAGGAGCAGCGAGAGGCUAGGGACAAGGGUAAGGCCAAGAGGCCUGCGGCUGAGGGUGCGAGCCAGACGCACUCCAGGAGGCCGCCGAAGCAUCCGAGGAGCCAGCAGCGUGGGCGUGGCUCGGCGACUCACCGAGGAGGUUCUGAUCGACGCCGACCUCCCCAAUGCGUGAUCUGUGGUGGUCCCCACAUUCCACCGCAGUGCCCGCAGCGGGGAGGGAGAUGUUUCCAGUGUGGCCAGGAGGGCCACUUUCGGACCGAGUGCCCAAGGGGAUCUUCACCGGCACCGUCGACUGCAUCGGCACCGGCUCUCCCAGCCGCCAGCCAGGGGACUCCAUCGGCACAAUACCAGCCUGGGCGGCCACCCGUCAAGCGCCAGAACGAGGGAUCUCGACAGGCCCCGAGUGGGCGCAUGUACGCCGCUCAGACCGAGGAGGCGGCAGCAGCCGAGGAUGUGGUUGCAGGUAUCAUUUUACUUGAUGGCAUUAGAGUUCGUGCUUUAUUCGAUACCGGUGCAUCGCAUUCAUUUAUAGAUCGGUUGUUUGCCGAGUUGCAUGGCAUCCCUUUGGUUUCUUUGUUGCAUACGGGACAUGUUGUUGUACCCGACACAUUUUGGAUAUUAGAGAGUAUAGCCCCGGUUGCCCUAUUCGGGUAGGAGAUUGGAUCAUGCCUAUAGAUUUGCUAGCUUUGCUCAAGCUGGGAGAUUUUGAUGUGGUCUUGGGCAUGGAUUGGUUGACCAAGUAUUAUGCCACGAUUGAUUGCAAGAAUCGCACGGUUACUUUUAGAGAACCUGGGCAGACUGAGGUGGUAUUUAGUGGAUGCCGAAGUUCGCUGUUUGCAAUGACGAUCAGCUCGUCUCGAGCUAGGCAGCUGAUUAGCAGAGGUAGCGUAGCCUAUUUGGCUAGUGUUGUGCUGAGGGGCGAGGAUGACACCCCUAAAAUCGAGGAUAUCCCGGUGGUGCGGGAGUUCCAGGAUGUGUUUCCAGCUGAGCUACCGGGUAUGCUUCCUGAUAGGGAGAUUGAGUUUGUGGUAGAUCUCGUCCCUGGGACUACCCCAAUCUCAAAGGCACCCUAUAGGAUGGCACCGGCAGAGCUGAGGGAGCUGAGGGCACAGCUGCAGGAUUUGUUGGACAAGGGCUUCAUUCGACCGAGCGUGUCACCUUGGGGAGCACCAGUUUUGUUCGUCAAGAAAAAGGACGGAUCACUUCGCCUUUGCGUGGAUUAUCGUGAACUUAAUAAAGUCACGAUCAAGAACAAGUAUCCGUUGCCGAGGAUCGACGACUUGUUUGAUCAGCUUCAGGGAUCGCGUGUGUAUUCCAAGAUAGACUUACAGUCGGGAUACCACCAAUUGAAGAUCAAACCCGAGGAUGUGUCGAAGACGGCUUUUAGAACACAGUAUGGACAUUAUGAGUUCACAGUUAUGCCGUUCGGGCUUACUAAUGCCCCGGCAGCUUUUAUGGAUCUAAUGAAUCGUGUUUUCAAGCCUUAUCUAGACAGGUUCGUCGUGGUGUUCAUCGACGAUAUUUUGGUCUACUCUCGAAGUGAUGCAGAUCACGAGGAGCAUUUGAGGAUUGUACUCCAAGUACUCCGGGAAAAGGAGCUUUAUGCCAAGUUGAAGAAAUGUGAAUUUUGGCUUCGAGAGGUAGCUUUUCUUGGACAUUUGAUUU
rnacentral:lncRNA from 1 species